UCCGGCUUAACGCCGGCAGUCUCCCUAGAGUGCCCAACUGAAUGGUGGCAACUAAGGACGAGGGUUGCGCUCGUUGCGGGACUUAACCCAACACCUCACGGCACGAGCUGACGACAGCCAUGCACCACCUGUGAUCCUGCCCAAUAAAGGGAAACCGUGUUUCCACGGCGGUCAGGAACAUGUCAAACCCAGGUAAGGUUCUUCGCGUUGCGUCGAAUUAAACCACAUGCUCCGCUGCUUGUGCGGGUCCCCGUCAAUUCCUUUGAGUUUUAGCCUUGCGGCCGUAGUCCCCAGGCGGCGGACUUAAUGCGUUCGCUCCGGCACCGGGGUCGAGACCGCAUACACCGAGUACCCAUCGUUUAGGGCGUGGACUAC
rnacentral:misc_RNA from 1 species